rnacentral:rRNA from 1 species
UACGUAGGGGGCAAGCGUUGUCCGGAAUCAUUGGGCGUAAAGAGCGUGUAGGCGGCCCGAUAAGUCCGCUGUGAAAGUCCAGGGCUCAACCCUGGGAUGCCGGUGGAUACUGUCGGGCUCGAGUCCGGAAGAGGAGUGUGGAAUUCCUGGUGUGAGCGGUGAAAUGCGCAGAUAUCGGGAGGAACACCGGUGGCGAAGGCGGUUCUCUGGGCCUGUACUGACGCUGAGGAGCGAAAGCGUGGGGAGCGAACAGG